GGGCCGAUAGCUCAGCUAGGUAGAGCGCCGGGCUCUUAACCCGGUGGUCGCGGGUUCGAAUCCCGCUCGGCCCGCCA
rnacentral:tRNA from 1 species